rnacentral:rRNA from 1 species
GAUGAACGCUAGCGGCAGGCCUAAUACAUGCAAGUCGAACGAUAUUAAGGGGCUUGCUCCUUAAGAAAGUGGCGCACGGGUGCGUAACGUGUAUGCAACCUACCUUAAUCAGGGGGAUAGCCCGAAGAAAUUCGGAUUAACACCGCGUAAAAACACAGGAUAGCAUUAUCCAAUGUUCAAAUAUUUAUAGGAUUAAGAUGGGCAUGCGUGUCAUUAGCUAGUUGGCGGGGUAACGGCCCACCAAGGCGACGAUGACUAGGGGAUCUGAGAGGAUGACCCCCCACACUGGUACUGAGGCACGGACCAGACUCCUACGGGAGGCAGCAGUAAGGAAUAUUGGUCAAUGGAGGCAACUCUGAACCAGCCAUGCCGCGUGCAGGAAGACUGCCCUAUGGGUUGUAAACUGCUUUUAUCCGGGAAUAAACCUUUCUACGUGUAGGAAGCUGAAUGUACCGGAAGAAUAAGGAUCGGCUAACUCCGUGCCAGCAGCCGCAGUAAGAC